AUCCAUCUGAUGAGUCCCAAAUAAGACGAAAUGCGCAUCCUGAAU
rnacentral:hammerhead_ribozyme from 1 species